CUCAUCUACUGUACAUCUUAGGUGACCUGAGGGUUUCCAUCAUUCUGUCUUCCAUUGUUUGAACAAAAGGACUAACCACAAACUCAAAAAAUGAUCUUUCUCUCUCCGUCUCGCUCUUCCUCCCUCAAGCUGUACAGGGACAUUAGUUUGGUGAUGAUGGCAAUGGAGGUCUUGGGAGGCUAAUAGCUU